AAAUCUUCUCUCUCAUCAGUUCUCAAAUCAUCCCAACCCUUAAAUCAGUUCUCAUUAUUUUUCUUCUAAUUUUCAGGAUCUGAGAGUUAAUUUCUUGCUCGAAUAAUGUCUUGUUAUUGAAGUUCUUGAUUCAAAUCCCGUUAGCAAUCGGUUAUUUUUCAAGUUUCUUCUCUCAUUUGUUUAGUUGUUAUUUGGUCUGUUCAAGGAUUCACAAGUUUGGCCACCAACUUUCUCGCCAAUUACAGGUACCUACAAUUUUUCAUCUGAUUCUACUAUGUCGCUGGUGUUUGGUGUUGUUUUCAGCUGCACAGGUGCUGCUUCUUGCUGUUGCAGGGUGUGGGUUGUGCUCCUGAUGUGUGCAGGCUAUUCUGCAGGGAGUCCAGGUGUUGCAGUCAGGUCUACAGGGAGUGUGGUGUUCGAUUGCUGCUGUGUGCAAUCUUAUGUUGCGUACCCUUUUAUUGCGUUUGUUGUGUUUGGUUGUUAGGGAGUGGUCUGUACUCCUCUAACUUUUUCUGCUGUUUCGUUGUUUAGAUACUUUUGUUCAUACCUUUUGGUAUUAAAUUUGUGUUUUGGAGAUAUAUAGCUAGCUAAUUUAAUAGUUUGGACAUGUGUAAACUUAAUUUGAUGAUAUGAUAUGAGGAUUUGGAGCGA